GACGAACGCUGGCGACGUGCUUAACACAUGCAAGUCGAACGAUGAACCCGGAGCUUGCUCUGGGGGAUUAGUGGCGAACGGGUGAGUAACACGUGAGUAACCUGCCCUGGACUCUGGGAUAAGCGUUGGAAACGACGUCUAAUACCGGAUAGGACCUUGGAUCGCAUGAUCUGGGGUGGAAAGUUUUUUCUGUCUGGGAUGGACUCGCGGCCUAUCAGCUUGUUGGUGAGGUAAUGGCUCACCAAGGCGUCGACGGGUAGCCGGCCUGAGCGGGUGACCGGCCACACUGGGACUGAGACACGGCCCAGACUCCGACGGGAGGCAGCAGUGGGGAAUAUUGCACAAUGGGCGAAAGCCUGAUGCAGCAACGCCGCGUGCGGGAUGACGGCCUUCGGGUUGUAAACCGCUUUUAGUAGGGAAGAAGGGCUUCGGCUUGACGGUACCUGCAGAAAAAGGACCGGCUAACUACGUG
rnacentral:rRNA from 1 species